rnacentral:rRNA from 1 species
CAAUAGCGUAUAUUAAAGUUGUUGCAGUUAAAAAGCUCGUAGUUGAAGUUCUGGCUGUAUGGGCCUUUGUACUAGAUACGAAAGCACCAGCAGUCAUCCGCUUGCAAAUACAUGUCCUUCCUUAACUGGUAGGCUGUAUGAGUAAGCAUUUUACCUUGAGGAAAACAGAGUGUUCCAGGCAGGUUUGUCCGGAAUGCAUUAGCAUGGAAUAAUAGAAUAUGACUGAAGUCGAUUUAUUGGUUUGAGGCUUUAGUAAUGAUUAAUAGGAACAAUCGGGGGCAUUAGUACUUGCCAGUCAGAGGUGAAAUUCUAAGAUUUGGCGAAGACUAACUGAUGCGAAAGCGUUUGCCAAGGAUGUUUUCAUUAA